rnacentral:rRNA from 1 species
GACGAACGCCGGCGGCGUGCUUAUCACAUGCAAGUCGAGCGGAGCGGCGGACGGGUGAGUAAUGCCUAGGAAUCUGCCUGGUAGUGGGGGAUAACGUCCGGAAACGGGCGCUAAUACCGCAUACUAUCAGAUGAGCCUAGGUCGGAUUAGCUAGUUGGUGGGGUAAAGGCCUAACAAGGCGACGUUCCGUAACUGGUCUGAGGGGAUGAUCAGUCACACUGGAAAGUAGACACGGUCCAGACUCCUACGGUAGGCAGCAGUGGGGAAUAUUGGACAAUGGGCGAAAGCCUGAUCCAGCCAUGCCGCGUGUGUGAAGAAGGUCUUCGGAUUGUAAAGCACUUUAAGUUGGGAGGCGUUACCAACAGAAUAAGCACCGGCUAACUUCGUGCCAGCAGCCGCGGUAAUAC